GACUGCGUUCCGUCGGUAGUCGUUUUCUCCAUCGCGUUGUCACUCGUUUACAUUUUAACUUAAAUUAACGGUGGUCGCAACGUCUGGCUAACUUUUCGUCACGUAAUUCGAACGCUCGUCGUCGCGGGUGUUUGUGAUUUUUUUUGCCCGGCUGCGACCGAAUUCACGCAACACGUCAUCGUUAUUUUGUUUACAACGGUCAAAUUGUCUGCCCAGUGGCGUGUCGAACUAAAAAUUGUCCCGGGACAAGUUACAAAUAUCCCAGGGAACCCACUGGCUACCACCCACCCCUCUAUUUAAGAAAAACCUUAGAGGCAAUUGCCUCUGAAAUUACCAUUUACAACGCCACUGUGUCUGCCUACUUUUAUUUUUCCCUGGACAUUCAUCACAAGCGUUGAGGAUGCGAUACCCACAUGACUUGUUGUCUCCGUCUUACAAGUGUGU